rnacentral:tRNA from 1 species
AUCCGGGGAGCUGCGUUCGCAAUGCAGAGGUCGGGAGUUCGAUCCUCCUUCGGUCCACCA